rnacentral:rRNA from 1 species
AUGCCCAAGGUUCCGAACUUGUCGUCGCAGUACAUCGUGCUGAUCCGGUACAGUUGCUGCAUGCUGAGAUCACUAAGGUCCAGACUUACCGGGCAGAAAUCGUCGGUGAUCUCUUUGAGAGACUUGUUGUGCUUCUCUUCGAGUAUUAAGAGCGUGACCGCCUGCCGAAUAUGCCUCAGUUCAUCCCAGGAUGAACCUGCAUACUGUUUACAGAUGAAGAAAUGUUGUCACCUCUUCCGUUAG